GAUGAACGCUAGCGAUAGGCCUAACACAUGCAAGUCGAGGGGCAGCAUAAGGAAGUAGCAAUACUUUCUGGUGGCGACCGGCGCACGGGUGAGUAACACGUAUGCAACCUGCCUUCAACAAGGGCAUAACCCGUUGAAAGACGGACUAAUACCCUAUAAUACAGGGGCCCCGCAUGGGGAUAUUUGUUAAAGAUUUAUCGGUUGAAGAUGGGCAUGCGUUCCAUUAGCUGGUUGGUGGGGUAACGGCCCACCAAGGCAACGAUGGAUAGGGGAACUGAGAGGUUUAUCCCCCACACUGGUACUGAGACACGGACCAGACUCCUACGGGAGGCAGCAGUGAGGAAUAUUGGUCAAUGGGCGAGAGCCUGAACCAGCCAAGUCGCGUGCAGGAAGAAUGUCCUAUGGAUUGUAAACUGCUUUUGCAGGGGAAUAAAGUGAGCCACGUGUGGUUUUUGUAUGUACUCUGCGAAUAAGGAUCGGCUAACUCCGUGCCAGCAGCCG
rnacentral:rRNA from 1 species